rnacentral:rRNA from 1 species
UACAGAGGUCUCAAGCGUUGUUCGGAUUCAUUGGGCGUAAAGGGUGCGUAGGUGGCGGGGUAAGUCAGGUGUGAAAUCUCGGAGCUCAACUCCGAAACUGCACUUGAUACUGCCUUGCUCGAGUACUGGAGAGGAGAUUGGAAUUUACGGUGUAGCAGUGAAAUGCGUAGAUAUCGUAAGGAAGACCAGUGGCGAAGGCGAAUCUCUGGACAGUUACUGACACUGGGGCACGAAGGCCAGGGGAGCAAACGGG